CUGACGCAGCGACGCCGCGUGAGUGAUGAAGGCCUUCGGGUCGUAAAGCUCUGUCCUCAGGGAAGAAGCAAGUGACGGUACCUGAGGAGGAAGCCCCGGCUAACUACGUGCCACCAGCCGCGGUAAU
rnacentral:rRNA from 1 species